AAGCUCGUAGUUGAAUUUCGGGGUUAGUAGGUUGGUCAUGCCUCUGGUAUGUACUGGUCUCACUGAUUCCUCCUUCCUUAUGAACCGUAAUGCCAUUAAUUUGGUGUUGCGGGGAAUUUGGACUGUUACUUUGAAAAAAUUAGAGUGUUUAAAGCAAGCUAACGCUUGAAUACAUUAGCAUGGAAUAAUGAAAUAGGACGUUCGAUCUUAUUUUAGUUUGGUUUUCUAGGAUUAACGUAAUGAUUAAUAGGGAUAGUUGGG
rnacentral:rRNA from 1 species